ACAUUUUUAGCUGUGCAUAUAUGGGCGGAAUCCAGAGUGGAGAGCACUUCCCCCUUUAUUCAGAUUUCAUUUUAAUGGUGUAACCUAGGGUUCUUCGCCGGGAUCCUGAAGAUUGGAAUCCGACUCCGUGAUAGCAAUCAUGGACAAUCCUUUUGGAAUGAACAAUCGAUCUACGUGAGUGCCUUUGCAUAAACCUAAUUUAUUUCUGAUUUGAGUUUCUAUUUAUACAGUAGUUUUUCUUGUUCGUUGAUUUUGAUUGUUUGUUUCUGUCGGUAGGUUUUGAUCGUUUCGUCAAUGUUUAUUUGAGAAAAAGAACAUGCUUGAAACAUCAUAGAUCUUUAAAAGACAGACAAAUCGGCCGUGCUUUUGGAUUCUGAUUUGAUGAAUGAUUGUAUGAUUUUGUGUUCUAUCUAUGAUUAAUUUAAUUUUUUCUCUUUAUUAUUUUGUUAAUAUUAAAAUUUUAAAGGGUUUGGCAUACCAAAACAAAUAGAGAAAGCCUGAAAAUUCUGUUGUACCACCUCCUAAACCCAAUGUAUGUGGUAAACUGAAAACUUUUAAAGCGAAAACCCAAAAGUCAAUAUUUUUACUAAAUUAAAUAUCAAAUGAUUACUUCCUCCAAUCAAGUUAAGCUGACAUUGCAAUUUUUUAAAUUUUUUUCUAUAUAUGAAGAGAUUAUUAGCUGGUCCACGGACUUGACCAUAUAUACAGUGAGGGGCUUUGUAUAUCAUUAAAAUCUAAGAGGGAGCAGUGUAAAUGGGUAAAACCUAGCCGUUACUUUUUCUAUAUAUACUGCAUUGGCCCCUGUAUUCAAUGUUUAGACACAUUGAUAAUGAAUUUUAUAUACUCACUCUUGUUCUCUCUUUCCUUUGGCGUAUUUUGGACAUAGGAUAUUUGUUAAUGGUAUUUAUGACUUGAAGCAUGGUUUUUCUACACUGAUUAAUCUCCAUCACUUGUAGCCUUAAGCUCUUUCAUCAUAAUGCCACAUUUGUGUAUAUCAUAAUUCUCUUUAUUAGGGUCCACCUUUUGGUUACAAGGCAGAGCAUUUAAUGUUUCACAAUUCAUGAGUUUAGAUUAAAUUUUCAACAGUUUCCUUUCUAACCAAAUAUUAGCAUGUAAAAUAUAUCUUCUCAAAACUAACAAUUUUUUGAGGAAGACAGUAUCCCAUUGUGAAUUUCUUUUUUCCCAUUUACUUUGAUUGGUCUGAAUGGUUCUUACUACUAAUGUGGGUUUUCUCCGACUCCCUCUUUUGGUUUCCUAGUUUUAAUAUUAAAAUAAAGUAGAAGAGAGAGUAUAAAAUAAGUUCCAAGACUAUCCAUAGUUGACUCCACUUUUGAGGGUAAGCUAGCCUUUAUAACACAUUUAAUAUUACUUGUGUACUUUAAGACAUCUUUUCAUGGACAAAAUUUGUUUUACUUUUAGACACACUUUCAGAGAUGGAGGUUGUAUUAUGAAGUGUAGAAAUAUCUAGAAUUUGACAAACAUGGCAUCUAAUUGAAUAAUCCAUAAGACCAUUAAGAGAGAAUAAUAAUUAAAGCAUCUAAUUUGACAAACUUGAUAUGUAAUUGAAUAAUAUUAUAGGGGAGAGCACUAUAACUAAUUUGUGCAGGAGAAAGUGAUCUUGAUCACAAAAUAUUUCUAUUUACUCGUGCACAAAUUGCAAAGAAUUACAUGGCAUUCUUAUUAAGUGCAACAAAAAAUGAAAUAGGUUAUAGUCUUAUAUAUGUGCAGUAAAAUGAAUAUAGAUUAAUUUAGCUAUGUGGGCCUUCUUAUUGAACUUUUAGUGCUUUUACAGAACUGGUGUGUACAUUUUAUUUGUUGCAAAUGUUUCUACAAACCACAAUUGAUUUCGAUUUUUGCAGGUGCUCGUUCUGACGUUCUUCUGCCAUCAAAGAUAAAAUCUGCAUAAUUUCUUAAUCGCUGGAAAUAUUAUUCACUUGCCUCAUUUAAUGCAAAAUUCCCAUUCAUGAAGCUGCAUAACAGGAACAACUAAUUUCGUGAGCAAAGUCGACAAGGUUUCAAAUAUAAUUGGUGCGGUUUAUAAAUGUUUUUUCGUUAACGUUGCCUGUUGUCAUUUUCUAGGAAUUUUUUAUUAAUAAAAAGCAUCUAGAUGAUGUUCUUAGACUGGCGCGUGUGGUUAACCAGAAAUUAGUACCAGCAAUAGUUCAUUUGGUGUAUGUUGUCAUGGAGAAGGGUUGUAUUCUUGUCUCAUACGCAUCAUUUGUUGAUCUAAUACAUGAUGAUUCAAUGGAGAAGGGUAUAUGUGUUCAGGGCCGGCCCAUAUGUUAAGCCAUUUAAGCAAUGGCUUGAGUCCCCCAAAAUUGAGAAGGCCCCCAAAUUUUAAUAAUUCAUAUAUGUUAGAGCCUAUUAAAAAAGUCCAAUUUUUUUUCUCCUAACAAAGCAGUAGCUACAAGUACAAUCAUACAAGAUAUUUUUCUCUCUCUAAUGGAAGCUGAAAUUUAUUCUUCUUUUUUCCCAAGACUGAAAUUUAUUUUUCUUUUUUCCCAAUGCCCCAAAAAAGUUUGGACCGGCCCUGACUGUGUUUCCUCAUACUCGAUUCUUUUAGCCAUUUAAGAAGAACCUAAUUAUUGGCUUGCCAUUUUCUGAGCAUAUUCUUUUUCUUUAGGUACAUCUACUAUUGGAGGAGGUGUUUCCACGGCCAGAUGUGCCUCUUUUAAAGAUUUCUGCUGUUUCAUGCAUGUUCUUUUUCAUCAAAUAAACAUAACGUAACGAUCAAAGCAUUGAUCUAUUGUUCAAUCAAAGAGGGCUGCUCAUGAUUGGUAUCACAACUAGAUCUCCUACUUUAUGAUCGAGGCGAAGAGCACAAGGUUUGCCAAUAAAGAAAGUUCGCUUCAUGUUAAAAAUAAGUAGCAUUGCAAAGAGAGAAAAAGAGUAUUACUAGGAUUGCAAAACAGGGGUUAAAGUAAAUGCAAAGCUUCACAAACUGCUAAGGAGAGGGCUAAAACAAAAAUAUUUGAUUAGAAGGUACAAAUCGUUUCUAUUUGUUACUAUGCAGCUUGCUAUCAACCAAAUUUCUAUAUUCUUAUUGCCUCUUGGAGUAGUUUUUUUACUUUUCUUGGUUAUGGUUUUAGUUCUUAUUUUCGUGACCAGAUAGAGUUCUCUAAUUGUUUACUACAAUGCUAUGAUAUCUUUGAAGUUUGUUUUUCACCCCUUGGUGUGCUGUAAGUUUUUAUAUUCUUUUCUUUUUUCCCUCCUUAAGGCUAAGAUGAGUGAUCUACACUUUGGAGUUGGGUAUUUAUCUUUGUUUAUCAUCUCUCCUAGAUUUUGCAUAAUCUUGUGACAUGUUGAAAAUCUUUUUUUUUCCAAUCUUGUUCUUGUUAGCUGCAAUUAUUGGUUAUUGUGCCUUUUGUUCUUCCUAUUUGGUAGCAAGUGUUCUUAAUCAGGGGCACUUAUCUAUGAAGUUUCAUAUGCAUUCUAGAUUGUUCAUAUUGUUUUUUUAAUGAGUCAGUUGUAGUUACUAGAUUGUACGUACUCCUGUGCUAAUAGUAGAGAUACAAUUAGCUGUAAAGCUUUACCAUCUCUACUAGUUUGGUUCUGAGUUUGUCACUUCUGAUUUCAUUUUUCCUAUACUUGAUAUGGCCCUUAACUCCCACCACCUUUCCCCGAAAGAGUCUCAGCUAACUUUUUUUUUGAAAUCCUAAAAUUCAGAAUUAAUAUGAAUUUAUUUGACUUUGAUUAAUGCAAUAGUUAAUAGUGUAAACUACCAAAAAAGUACUACCCAUUGUUGUUUCAAAAACUAAAAUAAAUUCACAUCACACUUCGAGUUGUAGGAUUUUGCAGUUUAACUAGGAUGAAAACCAAAUGGUGCUCUUUUUGUGGAAUGAGGGAGUAUUUUGUUAAUUAGUGUUGUAAAAUCUUGCCGCCUGAAAAGGAAAAAGGUGUGGAUGGAAUCUCAUGACGGGACUCUUGAUAUUUCCCAAGUUUUGUAAUAUUUAUGUCAUCUUGAUCAUUGUGAUGGGAGCUUAAAUUAGCGAUGCGGGCUAAUUAUCCAUAUAUAAUUUGCAUUAAUUUUAUGCAGCCCUUGAUGUGCUUCUCAUCAAGUUCUGUUCAUUAUACUAUCUUCUUGUUGACGGCUUCAACAAUUUCUUUCAAAUUGAAGGUGACACAAAGGAGGGAGAAAUGCUUAAAGGUUUCAGACAGUUGCAAACUACACUGAUAUCAGUCGGCUGACCCCCAAGAAAUGUGCUGCUCUGAAACUGCAGUUAUUCUACCAGAGCUAAUUGUAGAAGACAUCAUUGAUAUCAGUGUCAGUCUCCAGAUUUCCCCAACUUCAUUUCCCAAAAAAUGAUCGUUCUAUUUAUAGUUUUUAAAUUCAUUGAAUAUAAACUCUUUGUAUUUUUUGGUAGAUUAAAUAUGAAGUUUAAUUACACGUGACAAGUAAUAAUGUUGAUUUAGAUUUUUAAUCAAUUGGAUGAGUAAAUUAGAGAUCCUUACAUGGAUUAAUUAGUUUAGAAUUCCUUAUCUAAGGGUUCAAGCACAAUGCCCAUCUUCAAGAGAGGAAAACAUGACAAAAAUUAACUUUAUUUUCAUUAGCAUUAUUUAUUCUUGAUCACACAAUCAGUCUUUUUUUUCCUUAUUUUCAUACGGAACAAUUAGCUUCAUCAAAUGGUGGGCAUGCAAGCCCUACAUAAUCUUUUCUUCUUCCAUGUUAUGAACCCUCAAAACCAAAUAGAAAUUGACGAAUUAAUAAUUAAG
rnacentral:lncRNA from 1 species